rnacentral:rRNA from 1 species
UGCCGCGUGAGUGAGAGGCCUUCGGGUUGUAAAGCUCUUUCAGACGGAAAGAAACGGUCACGGUGAAUACCCGUGGCUAAUGACGGUACCGUAAGAAGAAGCACCGGCUAACUACGUGCCAGCAGCC